rnacentral:rRNA from 1 species
ACACGUCUACAUUAGAUACCCGGGUAGUCCCAGCCGUAAACUAUGCGCGUUAGGUGUAUCGGUGACCACGAGUCACCGAGGUGCCGAAGGGAAACCGUGAAACGUGCCGCCUGGGAAGUACGGUCGCAAGGCUGAAACUUAAAGGAAUUGGCGGGGAGCACCACAACGGGUGGAGCCUGCGGUUUAAUUGGACUCAACGCCGGGAAGCUCACCGGAUAAGACAGCGGAAUGAUUGCCGGGCUGAAGACUCUGCAUGACUAGCUG